rnacentral:sRNA from 1 species
AGAACAAACUCUGCCAUAUCCACGCCAAAUCAGCUGUGGAUUAUGCGCGAUACGGGGCGUAUCGGCGGCGGCGGCCCGUUAAGGUGUUUG